ACCUAAAACGCAUUGAGUAGUUUCGGAUUCAAGAUCCAUUUAUGUUUAUUGUCAUCCACGCAGAUUGUACCAUCAUUCUGCGGCUCAAUCCAGCUGUGCUACUCCUUCUACGAUGACGCCAAGAAGGACGUUCCUGUGUUCAGAAAGAAACUUGCCGACUGUGUGAUGGACCUGUACGGCCUGGUCUCUCGUAUGAAACCGGAGUACGCUGAGGCACACGGUAGUGGUGUGGACGUUGCAAUUAAUGAUACUAAGAGCUGUGUGAAAGGAGAGUUCAUUCCCACGGACGUCAGGAUAACGCUGGCGAUGGUCCAGUAUUUGCGUUCAUUCCUCGGUUCGGGAGCACGGAUUGGACGCUGAGCCAUUCUCGACACCUUCUGGACGAAAUUCUAGCGUACGCAUAGGAAUUUGGUCACCAAUCAGACUGAUAUAGCCUUCUGUA